ACUUAAACCUUAAAAGUAGUAAAACACUAAUUAAAACUGAUAUAUUUUGGCGGCAUUUCAUCUAUUUAGAGGAACCUGUCUUUUAAUCGAUAACCCACGUUAUAUCUCACUUUCUUUAAAAAAAUUUACAUACCGUCAUUUUAAAUAAAUAAAAAAAAAUACAAUUUAUAAUAUUAGUCUAAAAAAAUAGAUCAAGGCGUAAUCAACAAAAAAGUUAAGAUGUGUUACUCUAAAUACAAUUCAAGGAUUUAUAAAUAAAAAUUCAUUAAUUAAAAAGGAUUUAAAAGUAACCUUAAAAAAUUAAUUUAAACUGAAAUAGAUUAUCAAUGUGC
rnacentral:rRNA from 1 species